rnacentral:rRNA from 1 species
UACGGAGGGUGCGAGCGUUAAUCGGAAUUACUGGGCGUAAAGGGUGCGUAGGUGGUUUAAUAAGUUAGCUGUGAAAUCCCUGGGCUUAACCUGGGCAGGUCAGCUAAGACUGUUAGACUAGAGUAUAGGAGAGGGUAGUGGAAUUUCCGGUGUAGCGGUGAAAUGCGUAGAGAUCGGAAGGAACACCAGUGGCGAAGGCGGCUACCUGGCCAGAUACUGACACUGAGGCACGAAAGCGUGGGGAGCAAAC